rnacentral:rRNA from 1 species
UUCGCAAUGCCCGAAAGGGUGACGAAGCGACGCCGCGUGUGGGAAGAAGGCCUUCGGGUUGUAAACCACUGUCGGGAGUUAAGAAAUGUAGGGAUGUUAAUAGCGUCUUUGCUUGACUAAGGCUCCGGAGGAAGCCACGGCUAACUCUGUGCCAGCAGCCGCGGUAAUAUAGAGGUGGCAAGCGUUGUUCGGAAUUAUUGGGCGUAAAGAGCACGUAGGCGGCUAUGUAAGUCAGUUGUGAAAGCCUUCCGCUUAACGGGAGAACUGCAGCCGAAACUGCAUGGCUUGAGUGCGGGAGGGGAGAGUGGAACUUCUGGUGGAGCGGUGAAAUGCGUAGAUAUCAGAAGGAACGCCGGCGGCGAAAGCGACUCUCUGGCCCGUUACUGGCGCUCAGUGUGCGAAAGCUAGGGGAGCAAACGGGAUUAGAUACCCCGGUAGUCCCAGCCGUAAACGAUGGGCACUAAGUAGAGGGGUUU